AUUGAACGCUGGCGGCAGGCCUAACACAUGCAAGUCGAGCGGAUGAAGGGAGCUUGCUCCUGGAUUCAGCGGCGGACGGGUGAGUAAUGCCUAGGAAUCUGCCUGGUAGUGGGGGAUAACGUCCGGACACGGGCGCUAAUACCGCAUACGUCCUGAGGGAGAAAGUGGGGGAUCUUCGGACCUCACGCUAUCAGAUGAGCCUAGGUCGGAUUAGCUAGUUGGUGGGGUAAAGGCCUACCAAGGCGACGAUCCGUAACUGGUCUGAGAGGAUGAUCAGUCACACUGGAACUGAGACACGGUCCAGACUCCUACGGGAGGCAGCAGUGGGGAAUAUUGGACAAUGGGCGAAAGCCUGAUCCAGCCAUGCCGCGUGUGUGAAGAAGGUCUUCGGAUUGUAAAGCACUUUAAGUUGGGAAGAAAAGCAGUAAGUUAAUACCUUGCUGUUUUGACGUUACCAACAGAAUAAGCACCGGCUAACUUCGUG
rnacentral:rRNA from 1 species